rnacentral:lncRNA from 1 species
UCUUAUUAGAUGCAUUUUUGCAGUGAGCUAAUGACAUUACUUCAGAAAGUACUUAUACAUUUGAAAAUGUCCUACAAACAGUGGUGAUUUUCAUAAACAUUUACAAGGAUUUACAUACAGUUCCUGACCACCUAGAGGAUUUCUAAUUCAGCAAAGAGUGAGAAUCAUAGAAAAAAAUUUCACAAAGUAAUGUAAUUAUCUUCCAGAAAGGUUUCGCAUAGAAUAAUUCCUGACACAGGGACACCUAAUCUGUCUGUCUCUAACUGCAAACAUCUAUUCAGUGCCAGCUCUGUGCAUAGCUUUACCUGUCCCUUAAUUAAAAAUAUGGAAGGAAGAGACAAGAUCUCUACUGAGACAGAUGGGAAGAAAGAAGCAUACUCCAGCAGAACUUUAAGAAAAUAAUGAGCAACUUUAAAAGACUAGCAAGAUUGUGCAGUGGUGAAUAUGAAGAAGAUCUGCCGGAGCCAGGUCUUGGGGUGGCCGUAAGGAAAUCCAUGAGCCUUUACCACACACGCAGUGGGUGGCAGGUCAGGAUGAUAAUCUGAAAACUGUCAUCAUAAGAAACAG